AGAUGAGGGUGCUGGGAAGGCUUCUCCAUCAGCUUGGAUGAAUAAAGAUUUGAAGCCCUUGGAGCCUCCUGCAGAUGUGUCUACAGGGAGGACUUCUCCAGCUCCUACCUUGGAUGUUGCACUCAAGCCCAUCUCCCAUCACAGGGGUACUCCAACAGGGAAAGUCCAAGGUACAACAGGUAAGAUAUCCAUGGAACCAUCCAAACAGAUGAGGCAAGAGCUGAAGGAACCCCUGCAGACAAGAGAAG